GCGCUGGUCGUCUAGUGGUUAGGAUAUCACGUUCCCAGGGUCGAUUUGUCCAGGAAAACGUGGUUACGCGGGUUCGAAUCCCGCCCGGCGCA